UUACAAGUGCUGGGAAUGUGAGAAGAGCUUCAACCAGAGGUCCCACCUAACAGUCCACAUGCGCACUCACACUGGGCAACAGCCCUACAGGUGUGAGGAAUGUGGGAAGAGCUUCAGCGAUCGCUCCAACCUGAACCACCACCGGAGGAUUCACACUGGGGUACGGCCCUACCUAUGUGAGCAAUGUGGGAAGAGCUUCUCCAGGGGGUCUCACUUGUCCCAGCACCAACAGAGGCACUGCUUUUAAGGCAUCCGUUUUUCUGGCAUCUCAGAUGGGACUGGACCCAGCAGCCUCCCUCUGUACCAGAAACAUCUUGCAAGGAACUCUUUCCUGCUGAAGACUUGUAAGAAUUUCCCUGCAGUGACCUGAGGGGUGAGGAACCAUGGUCCAAGGACCCCACAGAAGGUAACAUAAAGGCAGCUCUUUUUGUGGGGUAGUGUGAAAUUGUGUAUUUGUGUGUUUUCAGGAAAAUCAAGACUCUUAGAAACCAAAUUGUGACAUUUUACAGGAUCCCACCUGUUUCGUAAGGUUUGUUAGGCCACUUAUUCUGUCCCAGCGUGGUGUGGAGAGGGAAUUUGCUUUUGGGGUUGUUUCUCAAGAGUUUUUUUUUUUCUCUUUCAUCACUUUUUCUAACUCUUCUGCGGCCAUGGUGAGUGAAGGCAGAGGCGGAAUCCAAAGGCUGAUGUCACUUUUGUAGCUGAAAUCUGAGACCUUUAUACCAACCUUUAAAAUAUGAAUUAUGAAAACACUGGGUGAUUCAUCAGUCACUCUAUUUGCCAAAUGCUUCUAAGAAGGAUCUAUUGGAAUUUUGCAAAGUGUGGAGAAUAACAGAUACUUUAGGAUGGUUUACUGAAUUAAAUUUUAAAAAUACCUUCUG